UAUUAUAUAUAUAUAUAUAUAAAUUUAUUUAAAGCAAUUUUAUAUAUUCAAAAUUGUGUUAUCUCAUGUCUAAAAUCUCGAAUAAUUUCGCGUAAUUGCUUAUUUCGAAAACACCGCGGGGUAUAAAAUAUACAAUAUCCCGUGUACCCAAACAAAGGUGAUCUCAAAACCUUAACGCCUUUCAGGUUUCCUCUAUUUCUAACGAGCAUCCUGUCUUUCAAAAUCUUGUGCGCUCUCAAUUUGGUAUAUACCUUCGUUUUCAUCCAUCUAUUAAAUUAAAAUUGGAUUAACUUCAAAUAUUCAUGAUACAGGGGGGAAAAAAUUAUAUUUUUAUAUGUCGUAACUUGAAACGUGUUCGUGUUACUUUUAACUAUAUCACGAUCGAUCCUAACCUCACUUUCGCCUCGUUCAGAAAAACAUCGCUGCUUUACAUUUCGUUUCGUUUAUAUAAAGGCUGUAUCGUGUUUUAUGGAAAAAAGAAAAGUCGAGAUUCUUUGAGAGCAAGGAGCACAACGUGGAAUGGACCGUUUGAUAUACAAACGAGAGGUGGGGCUGCUGGAAAGAAGAUACGAUCGAUCAUUCCGAAACGAUAGCCCUGAGACUUUAGUUACACGCAACGCUUUGACACGUUGCAAAUGAGACGUCGGUGCAAAUGGUCAAUGCCUACUUUUUUCUUCUCUCUUUCUCUCUCCCUCUCCUUUUCUUUCUUUCUUUCCUUCCUUCCUUCCUUCCUUCUACUCCUUCCCCUUUUUUUUUUAAUCCUUACCGACGGUGUUCCACUUAUCGAUUACCGAUCGAGUCUGUCCAUCGUGUCAACCUACCCGUACAGAAGUACAGAAUCCUGCAUUUCCUGUCUGACAGUGAAGGUCGGUAGCAAAUUCAGUAGCGUGGCACUAAAAGAGCUCGACGAUAAAUCACUUGGGCAAAUUCCUUAAAGCACUAAGUGCCGCGAGGCGUUUGAAAGGAUCGUGGGUCAGAAACGCCGGGAGUUAAACAGAGAUUGUACGGUUUCGAGGGGAAAUAUAAGCUGGAUCAAGCAAAUUCUUUCCUGGAGAAGGCGAUUCUCCGAGAUUCGAAGGUUAAACCUAAGAUUCUCUCGUGAAUGAAUAUCUUUUUAUCAUAAUGAGAUUUUUGUUUUUUUUUUUUUUUAUUAGAAAAAAAGAGAGAGAAGAGAGAAUAUAUAGAAGAAGAAACAUCAUCAAUAUUUCUUCGAUCAAUUUAAGUUAGUUUAAAUAAAUUUACUUUUAUUUAUGAGAUUUUAAAACGUGAAAAUUUGCUUUCUAAUCCACAUUUUUUUAUUCUCGUGUACACACGCGCAUACGUAUGCAAAGUUGCUUACAUCACUGUCAAUUUAACUUUGUAAACAUUGCGCAUGAUGAAUACACAUUUUUCGCAUUAAAACUUUCUAUAACGAUCCAACCUUUCACCAGUUUAUAAAC